CUCUUUGGCCUCAGCUCUGAAGUCCAACCCCUCACACCUCACAGAACUGGACCUGGGUUUUAACAUUCUGGAAGAAUCACAUGUGAAGAAGCUCCUGGACCUUAAACAGAGUCCUGACUGUCGUCUGGAGACUCUGAGUUGGAGACACUGAAGAUGUGCAGCUCGUGUGCAGAAGCUUCAGACGGAGCUCAGAGGCAAGAAACAGAAUAAUCAAAAAAAAAAAGUGCGUCAUUUAAACAUUUCUUAAUUGUGAUUUUAUUAAUACUCAAUACAUUUACUUUUUGUGUUUAAAUACGAGCUCAAUAAAACAGAAGCAGCACUAAUAAACUUUUAAUAACAUAUUUUUUCUUCACAAAGAUCGUGUUGAUAAUUUUACACAUGAAUCUUGUGUUUGAUCAUUUUCAGUUUAAUCUUGGCUUUCCUGUUUUCCAGGGUUUUGGUUUUAGUUUUUGGUCGUGUAACAACCCUUUAAAAUCUGUUUCUGUAAAUAAGUUCUUAUUUGUUCAUGGUUACACAUUUUCUCCAGUUGUUUUUUAUAAUAUGUUCACAGAAUCACGUAAAUAACAAAUUUUCACUCUAUCAUGAAAUCGAGGUCAAUGUAAAUUUUAGCUGAAGCAUUUUAACGCCCUCACCGGACAACAAGAUCAAGUCAAAUUUGGAUAAAUCUUCUUCUCCAAAACCCUUUGCAAAUUGAUUUAUCUCUAAGAAUCAAAAACCAGUUGUAUCCUCAUACUUUACUUCGACUUUGCACUGGCCCGAGCGUCUCGUGAUGUACGGGAGCACGAAGUGUAAUCGGCUCUCACAUGAGUAUUAUUCAUGUCAGAAAAGUGCAAUGUUUGGAAAAUAGUAAAGUGCUGCUACUCCGACAAUGAAAAAGAAAAAAAAUUAAGUAUUGGGACGCGUGAAAAAUAAUGUUUAUGCCGCUACUCUGACAGCAGAACAGCAGCAUGUCGGAACAUAGCGGCGUGACAGAACAGCGGCAUGUCGGAAUAACAACAUGUCAGAACAGCGACCUGUCGGAACAUAGUGGUGUGUUGAAACAUAGCGGCGUGUUGAAACAGCGGCAUGUCAGAAUAGCGGUAUGUCAAAACAGCAGCACUUGACCGCUGUCCAAGUUUUCACAGGAUGGUGGUGCAUUUGUGACAGAACCUACAGCACCAUCUACUGGGCGCAUGUGGCACUUCACAGUUAAAAGUUAAAAGUUAAAGUUUAAAGUAACACACUUCAAAAAUAAUGAGUAAAACUUGGCUGAGUUACAGAUAUUUAUUAUAUUUUACAUUUUUUUCUUGUAAAUGUACAAAACUUAGGCUUUAUUUGACACCGGUAUCUUGUCUUUUUUGCUGCUUUUUUAGAACGUAUUAUUACCAUUUAUAUUUUUACUCUUUGUUAUUAUAAAAUAUUGUGAUGUGUGAGCUACCGAAAUAAUUUUAAUGUGUGGAUCACCAGAGGAUAAAAUCCACCUGUUGUAACUUUAUUGUGUUUAAUAUGUUAUUGUUACUGAAAAUGUGGAUUAUUAUUUGGUUUGAAUAUGACUGAAAUGUUUUAAUUUGGUAAACCGGAUGUGUUUUAUUGUGAAAGGAACUGGACAGGAUGUACAAUGUAUUUUAACCCCCAUGUUGAAUAUUCAAAAAAAGAAAAAUAAUCACAAUAAAAAUGCAAACACUGAUGUUCCAAUGAAGAAA